rnacentral:sRNA from 2 species
CGCCCGGUCAUUGGGGAGUAGCCGCUCUUCACCUUGAAGAGGCCCGCGUCAACACACUUGUCCGUUCCCGGACAUGGCGCAGGCAGUCCCGCACCUGGCAAGACCUUUGACCACGAUGCUCCGCAUGAGGCCGGGGUGCGUCGUGGUCAAACGCGUUCUGUGCCGGCCCGUGA